GACUGAUUGUCCAUGAUCCGAUAGCCUUCGCGGAAAUCGAGGAGUUGAUUCCGGCGCGUUUUUCGGCGAAAUUAGCUGAAAGAACACGGUUUCGGUUCGGAUUUCUUCCGACAUGGUUUGGUUAUCCUGUAAAUUAUUACUGAGCCUUGUUGGCUGGUUACCAUCAUCAUUUUGUGGGUUCGGUGAUGAUGGGUGAGCGAUUGUGGGUUCCGGUGUCGAAAUAGACACUUUUGGGAACCCGAAUUCGUACAAUUAUCCGGCGAUAAUUGUGUAGUGGUGUUAUCUUGUGUUUGCUGCCAAAACAUCCAAAUUGGAGUGUUUUGGGGCAGCAGGUGACUCGUGGCACGAGUCGGUGAGUUUCGGGACGCUUAGUGGGUCCCGACGGCGUCCCGGUGUGGUUUUCAGGACUUCCGGCGCGUUACGGUAAUCGGUAUUGGGAAACCGAUCUUCGUGAAAUUGUUUGUGGGGUUGUGGAUACUGUGGUUAUUAGUUGGGGGUUAUAUACUAA
rnacentral:lncRNA from 1 species